rnacentral:tRNA from 1 species
GUCCUUGUCGAUUAGUGGUUAGAUCAUCACGUUGUGGUAACACAAUACCGUGAAGACGGAGGCUCGAAUCCUCCCUGGGACA